rnacentral:rRNA from 1 species
ACCAGACUCCUACGGGAGGCAGCAGUGGGGAAUAUUGCACAAUGGGGGGAACCCUGAUGCAGCGACGCCGCGUGGGUGAAGAAGCGCCUCGGCGCGUAAAGCCCUGUCAGCAGGGAAGAAAAUGACGGUACCUGAAGAAGAAGCCCCGGCUAACUACGUGCCAGCAGCCGCGGUAAUACGUAGGGGGCAAGCGUUAUCCGGAUUUACUGGGUGUAAAGGGGGCGCAGGCGGCGAUGCAAGCCAGGAGUGAAAGCCCGGGGCCCAACCCCGGGACUGCUCUUGGAACUGCGUGGCUGGAGUGCAGGAGGGGCAGGCGGAAUUCCUGGUGUAGCGGUGAAAUGCGUAGAUAUCAGGAGGAACACCGGUGGCGAAGGCGGCCUGCUGGACUGCAACUGACGUUGAGGCCCGAAAGCGUGGGGAGCAAACAGGAUUAGAUACCCGAGUA